UACUCCGAUCAUAUACUUGAUGUUCUCAGGUCAAUUCUUUCACGUUGCACGCAUGUGCAACAUUCAAAAAGUCAUAUAAACAACAUUUAAUAUAAGAACUUUCAUUGAAGACCACGUGUCAGUCUGAAGGUGAAUCUCGAAGAAGAUGGUACUCUAAUAAUAUACGUGGUGUUCUCAGGUUAAUUUAACCCAUGUAGUCUCAUUCUUUUCUAUAUUUUACAAUGAACUAUAGUUACCCUUUGGAGUAUUUCGUAGUCGAAGGAUUGAAUUGGGAAAGGUAUUAGAAAUAAAAAAUAUUCGUUCACCCCCCGUUUGUAUGUAAGUAAACAACGUAUUUAUUAUUAUCGUUAUUUCUAAGGCACUUGUUACCAAUAUAAAAACGUACGCGACAAAUGACCGCCAAUGAGCAUAUUUAAAUACUGAUAUUACACUUCUAAUUGCUUCUUUUAAACAUAAUUCUUACGUUAGAUGAAUAUAUAUAUAUAUAUAUAUAUAUUCAUAUGUAUGUAUGUAUACAUAUAUAGACAUAUGUGCAUUAAAGCGAACAUAUAUAUACAUAUAUAUACGUACAUUAUGGAUGCGCAUUCACCAUCUAAGAAAAAAAGAAGAAAGAAAGAAAGAGAGAGAGAGAGAGAGAAAGAAAGAUAGAAAGAAAGAAAGAGAAAAGUCUCUUAAUGUACCGUCUUAUCACCUUACAUAAUUUCUUGUCUAACACUUUUUUUGUGUUUUCUCUUUAACUUCGCGAACAUAAAUCCGUUAUUACGGAUGUUCAUCAUCUCUAACGUAAAUAAAGUUCAGUUUAGAUUAAAAGCAAGUUACACUAUAGUAAAAAUUAAGAUUAACGUUAAUUCAUAAUUAAAAUAAUACAUUAUAAAACCAGGCUCUCGAAUGAACGUCGACCCGUGUGCGAACAAAUUAUUAGAAUGAACACGUAACUACUCCUGUUUAUUAUUCAUUCUUUGACAAAUUCUUAUUACAAUUAUUUUCUCUAUCAAAAAACUCGUUCGACGCAUCAUGAUUCAAAAUAUAAUUAUGGACGAUUAAAAAGAUAUAUAAAUCGUUAUUGAUUGAUUUAAAAAAAAAAAAAACAAACACUUCUCUAUCCCCUCUGGUCGCUCGCGGAUCGUCGUUUAACAACAUUGCCUUUCGAUCUGUCUCGACGAACUUAUUUUUUCACUUACCUGAAAAGUUAUUGCAUAUUCGACUUACAACGAUAAGAAAAAAAAAAAAAAAAA